rnacentral:rRNA from 1 species
AGUAGGCUAACUCGUGCGUACGAAUGGAUGUACGUCUAAGCAGUGAGGCGUGGUAUGAGUCAAAUGCUUAUACCUGUAACGUUGAGCUGUGAUGGGGAGCGAAGUUUAGUAGCGAGUGAGUGAUGUCACACUGCCAAGAAAAGCUUCUAGCGUUGUAUCAUACUCUACCCGUACCGCAAACCGACACAGGUAGUCGAGGCGAGUAGCCUCAGGUGAGCGAGAGAACUCUCGUUAAGGAACUCGGCAAAAUGACCCCGUAACUUCGGGAGAAGGGGUGCUGACUUUGGUCAGCCGCAGUGAAUAGGCCCAAGCAACUGUUUAUCAAAAACACAGCUCUCUGCUAAAUCGUAAGAUGAUGUAUAGGGGGUGACGCCUGCCCGGUGCUGGAAGGUUAAGAGGAGUGCUUAGCGUAAGCGAGGGUAUGAAUUGAAGCCCCAGUAAACGGCGGCCGUAACAAUAACGGUCCUAAGGUAGCGAAAUUCCUUGUCGGGUAAGUUCCGACCGCACGAAAGGCGUAAUGAUUUGGGCACUGUCUCAACGAG